GAAAGAGAAUCCCUGCAUGUCUAUGACCACUUCCUAGCCAAUCUCUCCCAAAGCAACAGAAAGAAACAUGAAGUUGUGGUUCACAUUUGUUUUCUUCCUAGCAUUCUUCGGAGGAAUACAGUCAGCAGUCCAGCUCGUGGAAUCUGGAGGAGAUGUAAAAAGGCCUGGAGAGUCCCUCCGCCUCUCCUGCCGAGCUUCCGGGUUCACCUUCACUGACUACUGGAUGCAGUGGAUAAGGCAAGCUCCAGGAAAGGGACUGGAAUGGAUCGGGGAGAUAAAUGGGAAUGGGGGAACAAAGAACUAUGCCACCUGGGCAAAGGGGCGCUUCACCAUUACCAGGGACAAUCCCUCCAAUAUGGCAUAUCUACAAAUGAACACCCUGAAGGCUGAGGACACUGCUGUGUAUUACUGUGCAAGAGGCACACAGUGA